UAGCAGAGUGAAAUACGAUGUAUAAGA
rnacentral:sRNA from 1 species